rnacentral:rRNA from 1 species
AUGAACGCUAGCGGUGCGCCUAACAUAUGCAAGUCGAGCGCCUAUCGCAAGAUAGGAGCGGCGAACGGGUGCGUAACACGUUGGUACCCACCUCGAACUCAGGGAUAACCUCGCGAAAGCGUGGCUAAUACCGGAUAGUCCCGAAAGGGUAAAGAUUUAUCGGUUCGAGAGGGGCCUGCGGAGUAUCAGUUAGUUGGCAGGGUAACGGCCUACCAAGACUAUGACGCUUAGCUGAUCUGAGAGGAUGAUCAGCCACAAUGGAACUGAGACACGGUCCAUACUCCUACGGGGGGCAGCAGUGAGGAAUCUUCCGCAAUGGGCGCAAGCCUGACGGAGCGACACCGCGUGGAGGACGAAGGCCUUUUGGUUGUAAACUCCUUUUUUGAGGGAAUAAUUGAUGAAGUUACCUCAAGAAUAAGCACCGGCUAACUACGU